rnacentral:rRNA from 1 species
GAGUUUGAUCUUGGCUCAGAACGAACGCUGGCGGCAUGCCUAACACAUGCAAGUCGAACGAACUCUUCGGAGUUAGUGGCGCACGGGUGCGUAACGCGUGGGAAUCUGCCCUUGGGUACGGAAUAACUCAGAGAAAUUUGUGCUAAUACCGUAUAAUGACUUCGGUCCAAAGAUUUAUCGCCCAAGGAUGAGCCCGCGUAAGAUUAGCUAGUUGGUGGG